rnacentral:rRNA from 1 species
GAUGAACGCUGACAGAAUGCUUAACACAUGCAAGUCAACUUGAAUUUGGGUUUUUAACUUAGGUUUGGGUGGCGGACGGGUGAGUAACGCGUAAAGAACUUGCCUCACAGCUAGGGACAACAUUUGGAAACGAAUGCUAAUACCUAAUAUUAUGAUAAUAGGGCAUCCUAUAAUUAUGAAAGCUAUAAGCGCUGUGAGAGAGCUUUGCGUCCCAUUAGCUAGUUGGAGAGGUAACGGCUCACCAAGGCGAUGAUGGGUAGCCGGCCUGAGAGGGUGAUCGGCCACAAGGGGACUGAGACACGGCCCUUACUCCUACGGGAGGCAGCAGUGGGGAAUAUUGGACAAUGGACCGAGAGUCUGAUCCAGCAAUUCUGUGUGCACGAUGAAGUUUUUCGGAAUGUAAAGUGCUUUCAGUUGGGAAGAAACAAAUGACGGUAUCAACAGAAGAAGUGACGGCUAAAUACGUG